GACGAACGCUGGCGGCGUGCUUAACACAUGCCAGUCGAACGAAGAGCGAUGGAAGCUUGCUUCUAUCAAUCUUAGUGGCGAACGGGUGAGUAACGCGUAAUCAACCUGCCCUUCAGAGGGGGACAACAGUUGGAAACGACUGCUAAUACCGCAUACGAUCUAAACUCGGCAUCGAGGAUAGAUGAAAGGUGGCCUCUACAUGUAAGCUAUCACUGAAGGAGGGGAUUGCGUCUGAUUAGCUAGUUGGAGGGGUAACGGCCCACCAAGGCGAUGAUCAGUAGCCGGUCUGAGAGGAUGAACGGCCACAUUGGGACUGAGACACGGCCCAGACUCCUACGGGAGGCAGCAGUGGGGAAUCUUCCGCAAUGGACGAAAGUCUGACGGAGCAACGCCGCGUGAGUGAUGACGGCCUUCGGGUUGUAAAGCUCUGUUAAUCGGGACGAAAGGCCUUCUUGCGAAUAGUGAGAAGGAUUGACGGUACCGGAAUAGAAAGCCACGGCUAACUACGUG
rnacentral:rRNA from 1 species